rnacentral:rRNA from 1 species
GACGAACGCUGGCGGCGUGCUUAACACAUGCAAGUCGAGCGGGGUCCAUCCCUUCGCAAGAAGGGGGAAGACCUAGCGGCGAACGGGUGAGUAACACGUGAGGAACCUGCCCCGAAGACCGGGAUAACACCGGGAAACCGGUGCUAAUACCGGAUGCCCUCAGAGAGUCGCAUGGCUCAUCGAGGAAAUGGAUUCCGCUUCGGGAGGGCCUCGCGGGCUAUCAGCUUGUUGGUGGGGUAACGGCCUACCAAGGCUCCGACGGGUAGCUGGUCUGAGAGGACGACCAGCCACACUGGGACUGAGACACGGCCCAGACUCCUACGGGAGGCAGCAGUGGGGAAUCUUGCGCAAUGGGCGAAAGCCUGACGCAGCAACGCCGCGUGGGGGACGAAGGCCUUCGGGUUGUAAACCCCUCUCAGCAGGGACGAAAAUGACGGUACCUGCAGAAGAAGCCCCGGCCAACUACGUGCCAGCCGCCGCCGUAAAAC